ACCUACGAGGCAUGAUUUUAGUAUUCUCUACUCCAGUGGAAAAGACACCCAGUCGGAAUCGACUCUACUUUUUCUAUCCUUCACCUUCUUUCACAGGUGUCCGCUAUAUGGAAGUGCAAACUCCUACUGAAAUGUAUCACCACCACCAUCAUCGUCGUCGUCAUCAUCAUCAUCAUCAACAACAACAAACCAAAAAAUAGGUACUAUAUAAUUAAGGAGCUGAAUGAACUUCAGAAGUACAUAUUGACUGAAAAAAGAAUGUUUUAAAUGUAUAUCAUCUUUGUCUCUCUAGAGGAAAAUUUGAAUCCACAGGGACAAGACACAAAAAGGAGAAGCCCUAACGCUCUCUCAUUGAAUUUCAGACUCCACGGGAGGAAUGCUAUGCCUGGUACUACUGUAAUGUAAUCCUCAUUAAAAACUUAUAUCCAGGGAGAUCAUGGCCCUUGGGGGAACUGAGUACUGUUGUUUAGGUAACAGAACUUCAAGAUACAUUUUAAAUAUAUGUGUCCGACUCAAUAGUCACACAGAUGGCCCUGACUAGGUGUUAGGAAAUGAGAGAGAAACCAGGAGUCCUGUGAAAGGAGGUGUGGGUGUAGCGGACGUUGAUCAGGAUGCAAGGAGGUCACAGAAGUGGGAACGUGGGGAGGAUCAAAUACAUCAUCCAAAUGAAAGGGGAAAAUGCCUUAAUCAUGGCAAGAAGGCAUCUUGGAAACUGGGGGUGCAAAGGAAAAUAAGGCCUAUAGUCAUUCUAUUUAUAACUGAAUAACCUUAAUAUAGUUGUAUAUGAUCAUCUUUAGAGGUUCCAUGGUCUCUGUUUUUAUUUUAGAUCAAUUUUCUUUAGGGACAGAAGCACCACUUUUACUUACUCUUGAUUCUGCCUCCCAAG
rnacentral:lncRNA from 1 species